CAGGGCUGGUCAACCAGCUCUCUGGGAACCUUCACGUCCUUGGGUGCACAUUAUCAGGAAGCAGGAAGCUGGAAUUGGAAGUGGAGCUGGAAUUCAAACCCAGACACUCUAAUGUGGGACAUGGGCAUCUAAACCUCAGCACAAAACACCUACCCCAACGAAUACUGUUAGAUACAGGAAAAUGUGGACGUCUAUGGAAAGUGAAGUGCCAAGGGAGAAGCACAGAAGUUCAUUUUUGGGAGAGAAAACGUCACGGAGGGGCCAGACGUUCACCUUCAGCACGGCGGAGGACUCGCACUCCUGGCAUUUUGCGGAGCUGUGCUGUGGGAGCACAUGAUUCUGGUCCACUGACGGCUCAUGCGAUUUGCAAAUUGGAAAGUAGAUGAGAAUCUGAAGACACCAACGAGUCUUGGGGCUGAAGGGAAGCUGUGAUAGGAUACCCAUUCUUUUUUUUUU